CUUGAACAUGUCAACAUAUCUCUCAGUCAUUAUAAUAUGGAGCUACAGUGUCUCUAUCUCCAAAUCUCUCCUCUGUGUGUUAACAUUUAAUAGGUAUGCAUAUUUAUACCUUAGGUGUCUUCAUUUUAGGGUUACUGUAGUUCAUAUAUGAAAAAGUAACACUUCUUUGAGAAAUACAAUAUAUGCAUUUGCCCAUAACAUAAUUACCUCUCAUAUCAUAUGUUUAUAUUGUUUAUG